CCUACGGGUGGCAGCAGUGAGGAAUAUUGGUCAAUGGACGAGAGUCUGAACCAGCCAAGUAGCGUGAAGGAUGACUGCCCUAUGGAUUGUAAACUUCUUUUAUCUGGGAAUAAAAUGUUCCACGUGUGGGAUUUUGUAUGUACCAUAUGAAUAAGGAUCGGCUAACUCCGUGCCAGCAGCCGCGGUAAUACGGAGGAGCCGAGCGUUAUCCGGAUUUAUUGGGUUUAAAGGGAGCGUAGGGGGAUUGUUAAGUUAGGUGGGAAAGUUUGCGGCUCAACCGUAAAAUUGCAGUUGAAACUGGCAGUCUUGAGUACAGGAGAGGUGUGCGGAAUGCGUGGUGUAGCGGUGAAAUGCUUAGAUAUCACGCAGAACUCCGAUUGCGAAGGCAGCUCACUGGACUGCAACUGACACUGAGGCACGAAAGUGUGGGUAUCAAACAGGAUUAGAUACCCUAGUAGUC
rnacentral:rRNA from 1 species